AUGUCUCAGACUAGCCAUGCACGUCUAGUACAAACUAAAUGAUGGUGAAACUGCAAAUGGCUCAUUACAACGGUUAUGAUGUACCCGGGAGUUCCGAUGGAUAUUUCCAGUAACACUAGAACUAAUACAUGUCCCUGCGUUUAUUAGUUUCGCACAGUCCGUCGCUGAGUCAUGGUAAACAGUUGAUCGACUCGACGUCCCGGAACAGUUUCCGCCCCAUCAGCUUCGAUGGUUGGGUAUUGGCCUACCAUUGCAACAACGGGUAACGAGGAAUUAGGGUUUGAUUUCGGAGAGGGAGCCUGAGAAACGGCUACCACAUCUACGGAUGGCAGCAGGCGCGCAAAUUACCCAAUGCAGACACUGUGAGGUAGUGACGAGAAAUAAUAAAGCGGGACUUCUGUUUCGCUAUUAUAAUGAGGAAUAACCAAAGGUCAUUCCGAUUAGCAACUGAUGGGAAAGUCUGGUGCCAGCAGCCGCGGUAAUACCAGCGUCAGUAGCAU
rnacentral:rRNA from 1 species